CAAUUCUUUCAUAUUUAAACACUUACCGCCUGACUUACUAAAAGCUCAUUAAAUAGAAAAGGCAAAAUGAACAGCUACAUCUAAAGCCUAUAUAAUGGUCUGGAAAAUCCUUCUGCCUGGUCUUGCGUUGUCCAGUAACUCAAUGAGGCGGAACUGAAUAAAAGGAAAGUGUUUUCUACCGAACACAUUUCGAACAAGAACGCGUUCUCCCGUUGCCGUGGCAGCAGCGACUUCAGGAAGAACGUUCGGGCGAUUAAUGAUGGAUGCUCGAGAGAUAGAUCUGCUGGGUGUCAACGAGAACAUAGUUGAAAUGCAGAAUUUGGAAGAAGAGGACUUUGCUGUUUCAAAAUCAUCGGAUGCUGAUGCAGAAUUUGACAUGAUUAUUGGGAACAUCGAGGAUAUUAUAAUGGG